AUACGGAGGGUCCGAGCGUUAUCCGGAAUCAUUGGGUUUAAAGGGUCCGUAGGCGGGAAUCUAAGUCAGUGGUUAAAUCUUGCAGCUCAACUGUAAAAUUGCCAUUGAUACUGGAUUUCUUGAAUUAGUGUGAAGUGGUUAGAAUGUGUAGUGUAGCGGUGAAAUGCAUAGAUAUUACACAGAAUACCAAUUGCGAAGGCAGAUCACUAACACUAUAUUGACGCUGAGGGACGAAAGCGUGGGGAGCUAACAGGAUUAGAAACCCCAGUAGUCC
rnacentral:rRNA from 1 species